rnacentral:rRNA from 1 species
UAUUGGUCAAUGGGCGGGAGCCUGAACCAGCCAAGUCGCGUGAGGGAUGACGGCCCUAUGGGUUGUAAACCUCUUUUGCCGGGGAGCAAAGUGCCGCACGUGUGCGGUUUGGAGAGUACCCGGAGAAAAAGCCUCGGCUAACUCCGUGCCAGCAGCCGCGGUAAUACGGAGGAUGCGAGCGUUAUCCGGAUUUAUUGGGUUUAAAGGGUGCGUAGGCGGGCUGUUAAGUCAGCGGUCAAAUGUCGGGGCUCAACCCCGGCCUGCCGUUGAAACUGGCGGCCUCGAGUGGGCGAGAAGUAUGCGGAAUGCGUGGUGUAGCGGUGAAAUGCAUAGAUAUCACGCAGAACUCCGAUUGCGAAGGCAGCAUACCGGCGCCCGACUGACGCUGAGGCACGAAAGCGUGGGUAUCGAAC